UUCUAUGGCCAUACCACCCUGAACACGCCCUAUCUCAUCUGAUCUCGGAAGCUAAGCAGGGUCGGGCCUCAUUAGUACUUGGAUGGGAGAAAACUGUAUACCUUGAUAC
rnacentral:rRNA from 1 species